GGACCGGUUGUCUAGUGGCUAGGAUGACGCACUCACACCGCAAAGGUCAUGGGUUCAAAUCCCAUCCGGUCCA
rnacentral:tRNA from 1 species